UCGACGGUACAGGAAGAAGCUUGCUUCUUUGCUGACGAGUGGCGGACGGGUGAGUAAUGUCUGGGAAACUGCCUGAUGGAGGGGGAUAACUACUGGAAACGGUAGCUAAUACCGCAUAACGUCGCAAGACCAAAGAGGGGGACCUUCGGGCCUCUUGCCAUCGGAUGUGCCCAGAUGGGAUUAGCUAGUAGGUGGGGUAACGGCUCACCUAGGCGACGAUCCCUAGCUGGUCUGAGAGGAUGACCAGCCACACUGGAACUGAGACACGGUCCAGACUCCUACGGGAGGCAGCAGUGGGGAAUAUUGCACAAUGGGCGCAAGCCUGAUGCAGCCAUGCCGCGUGUAUGAAGAAGGCCUUCGGGUUGUAAAGUACUUUCAGCGGGGAGGAAGGGAGUAAAGUUAAUACCUUUGCUCAUUGACGUUACCCGCAGAAGAAGCACCGGCUAACUCCG
rnacentral:rRNA from 1 species